UAUGCGAGGAAGGAGCGUGCGGAGCCUUUGGAUGCCACCCGCACGUGGCCCGACUCUACGACGAGGAAGACAUGAUCGCGACGCUCGAACAGCGAAGCGUCGUCGCCUUGGGAGAAAUAGGCCUCGACUUCACCACGAAGUGAAUGCUCUCCGUCAUACAUUUACCAUAGGCGGCAAUUACGGAGAUGAACUUAUGCAUGCAGUGCGAUCAUCAGAUACAAUAACGCAUCUUACGGCGGCAGCUACAGCUUGCAAGGAAUGAUCGUCUGUUCCUUGUAAUCCAUUCGCGGGAUUCCUCACUGGACACCCUGCGAAUCCUGAAGGAGGUGGUGCCUGCUGACUGGCCCAUCCAUCGCCACUGCUUCGCCGGUGACUUGACCGAGGCGCAACUGUAGAUGGACACGUUCCCCAACCUGUGCCUCGGGGUGACUCCUCUUCUGGAGUUUUUCAAUGCUGUUGCUGAGGUCGGCCCCAGGGUUCCGCUCGAUCGUCUGCUGCUGGAGACGGACGCUCCGUACUUCCUCCCGAAAAGCGAGUCCGGCCGCCUCACGCAUUCACAUCCAGGGAUGGUCAACCACGUGGCCACCACUCUGUCCAAAGUGUGCAGGUUCCCUUUUGAAGACAUCCUCGUCACUGUCCGGCAAAAUUCGCGGAAGAUCCACCGCAUUUAAAGCGACCGCGAAUGAGCAAGUCUUUUAGCUUCUUUCAUGUGCAAUUUCGAUUGAAGCAACGCCCGCAAAAAUCUGCUGGGCCAUAUCCAGAGCACAUUUCUUUUAUUUGAGAACAGGGAUGCGACUUGUUGUGAUCAGAUUUCUGCUAGAAAGCCUUCUAGAACAUUUCUAGAAGGACUUAUAGACUCGUUUUGAGCCUCUUGUGCUUAGGCGUGACCUCACGUUGAGUAGCCGAACGCCUUGGCCAGUCAUUUUUCGCGUUGAGCAGGUUAUCGGAUACAAGCUUCAACCCCAACCUGACUGGGAGCCCGUGUCUUAAUCGUUAUGUGCCUAUGUAAUACGGCUUUGAUUUUAUCAGCGCUGUUGCAGACUCGCGAGUAACAGUUUGUUUUAAGGUAGUCUGCAAAAUGUUCCAAGCCGGUGAAUGUUAGCUAGCAACCUUGGUAGUGCUAGGGAAGACCAGCGAAUAAAGUGCGUAUUGACAUUUACCUGUUUGUUUCUCCGGCGACCACUUCUCAUCGGCUAACAAAUGCUAAAUGUUUUCGCUUAGAGCAAGCACGCGCCUGGAUAUUGGAAGUUUCUCAAAGUUAUGCAUGGUUCUAUCACUUGCUGUUAUCAAACCCCGUGUACUCUGAUUGUAUACGCGACGCGAAUUGUGUAGUACUUUCUGGAAGUAACGCGGGAACCAGCGAUUAGGCUGGAACCAUCGACGGCUCAUGUAUAAAAGCCGACGCGCUUAACCUGUUGAUCAGAUUUUUCGACGAUCGCCCACUGUGCUCGCCGCAAUCGUUGUGCUUGACUGUUGCUUGUUUUUUUCUGCGCACAGAUUCGCCCAAUAAAGUUAUUUUCGUGAGCCACAGAUUUUGCUAUUGUGCUGUUUUCCGUCACUACAACAUGGCAUCUGGUGGAGGUGAUUUGCGUUCACGUACCGGACGCCUCCGCAAAGCCGUGAUCCAAGCCCGAACCGCGAAUGCAGCACCAACGUGGCCACGGACCUGCGAGCUAGCCAGAGGCCGCAAGAAUGACUAACGGAUCAUGGACCUCUUCUCGCGAAGGCCAUUGAAAUCAAAGCCAUGUCAACAACCACAAUGGCAACCCCAGCGUCCUCCAUCCUGCUACAACGGCCUAGGGAGCCACCGGCCUCCCUCGGAUCAUCGUUUGAACAGGCGGAAUACUGGUACUAAAUGGCCGCUACAUACAACAGCUGGAGAUCCGAGGACAAGCUGUGGCACGUACACUUCUCCUUGGAAGAAGCCACCAGGACGUGGUUAGAGAAUCGCGAGUUGAGCCAGACAACGUGAGACCUCUUCCGCAGCGCCUUCCUAAACACCUUCACGAGCAUCGUCCGGAAAGAGAGGGCGUAAGCGAUACUGGAGCCGCGUACGCAGCUUCCAAACGAUAUCACGAAUUAAACCGAAGAGAUGACCGCCUGUUCCGCCACGCCGACCCGGACA
rnacentral:lncRNA from 1 species